GUAGGUGGCAAGCGUUGUCCGGAAUUAUUGGGCGUAAAGCGCGCGCAGGCGGUUCUUUAAGUCUGAUGUGAAAGCCCACGGCUCAACCGUGGAGGGUCAUUGGAAACUGGAGAACUUGAGUACAGAAGAGGAAAGCGGAAUUCCACGUGUAGCGGUGAAAUGCGUAGAGAUGCGGAGGAACACCAGUGGCGAAGGCGGCUUUCUGGUCUGUAACUGACGCUGAGGCGCGAAAGCGUGGGGAGCAAACAGGAUUAGAUACCCUGGUAGUCCACGCCGUAAACGAUGAGUGCUAGUGUUAGGGGGUUUCCGCCCCCCUUAGUGCUGCAGCUAACGCAUUAAGCACCCCCGCCUGGGGAGUACGGCCGCAAGGCUG
rnacentral:rRNA from 1 species